UUGGAGCAGUGAAACCACCGCGGGGCGACGGAAGUCCCCGUUGAAGAGUGUAGGCGUUGAGGAUGGCAGGCAAAUCCACCGUCCGAGCUGAACUUGAUAGUAUGGAGUCUUCUUCGGAAGAAUCCAAUAGUGUGGGUAAUCAUACUCCCGAGAAAAUCCGCUAAGCUUAACCCAUGCGGCACCCGUACCGCAAACGGACACACGUGGUCGGGUAGAACAUACUGAGGCGUUGAGAGAUUCAUGGUUAAGGAACUAGGCAAAUUGACCCUGUAACUUCGGGAUAAAGGGUCCUCGUGAAUAGCGAGGCGCGGAGAAUAGGUCCAGGCAACUGUUUAACAAAAACACAGGGCUGUGCAAACUCGAAAGAUGACGUAUACAGCCUGACACCUGCCCGGUGCCGGAAGGUUAAGAGGAGAUGUCACUCGCAAGAGGAAGCAUUGAAUUGAAGCCCCGGUAAACGGCGGCCGUAACGAUAACGGUCCUAAGGUAGCGAAAUUCCUUGUCGGGUAAGUUCCGACCUGCACGAAUGGUGUAAUGAUCCGGACGCUGUCUCAACCAUGAGCUCAGUGAAAUUGUAGUAUCGGUGAAGAUGCCGAUUACCCGCGAUGGGACGAAAAGACCCCGUGAACCUUUACUACAGCUUAGCAUUGACCUUGGUCAUCCGAUGUGUAGGAUAGGCCGGAGGCUUCGAAGCGGGAGCGCCAGCUUUCGUGGAGCCAUCCUUGAAAUACGGCCCUUUGGCUGUCUGAGGUCUAACGCGCGAUGCGCGGACACUGCUUGGUGGGUAGUUUGACUGGGGUGGUCGCCUCCAAAAGCGUAACGGAGGCUUCCAAAGGUGCCCUCGGGUCGAUUGGUAACCGACCUCAAAGAGUGCAAUGGCAUAAGGGCGCUUGACUGGGAGGCAGACAUGCCGAGCAGGCAGGAAACUGGGGCAUAGUGAUCCGGCGGAUGUGUAUGGAAACUCCGUCGCUCAAAGGAUAAAAGGUACUCCGGGGAUAACAGGCUGAUCCCCCCCAAGAGCUCAUAUCGACGGGGUGGUUUGGCACCUCGAUGUCGGCUCGUCACAUCCUGGGGCUGGAGAAGGUCCCAAGGGUUGGGCUGUUCGCCCAUCAAAGUGGCACGCGAGCUGGGUUCAGAACGUCAUGAGACAGUUCGGUCUCUAUCUAUCGUGGGCGUGGGAGUUUUGCGUGGUGCCGUCACUAGUACGAGAGGACCGUGAUGGACAGACCUCCGGUUUACCAGUUGUGCCGCCAGGCGCACCGCUGGGUAUCUGAGUCUGGAUUGGAUAAGCGCUGAAAGCAUCUAAGUGCGAAGCCAGCCGCAAGAUGAGAACUCCAUUGAGGGUCGUCAGAGACGAUGACGUUGAUAGGAUGCAGGUGUAAAGACAGCGAUGUCAAAGCCGAGCAUUACUAAUUGCCCU
rnacentral:rRNA from 1 species